CUGCUGUUUAGAAGGUGAGGUUGUAUGUCGCAGAGACGGAGGAGCAUGGUGCUUAGUAACUGGAGCGGAGCAUGGAAGAUGGUGGUGGGGCAACGGGUGAGAUGAUGGAGCAGUUGCAGGAGGACGAUGCAAAGGAAGAUGCAGGCGUAGUCAACAACGCAGAGUUCUCUUCAUCCACCAGCAAGUCAUCCGUCUUCCUCAACGCCGCAUGCGCAAUCACCAACACAACCCCA
rnacentral:lncRNA from 1 species